rnacentral:rRNA from 1 species
AUUGAACGCUGGCGGCAUGCCUUACACAUGCAAGUCGAACAGCAGCACGGGAGCAAUCCUGGUGGCGAGUGGCGAACGGGUGAGUAAAGUAUCGGAACGUGCCCAGUCGUGGGGGAUAACGUAGCGAAAGUUACGCUAAUACCGCAUACGAUCUAUGGAUGAAAGCGGGGGAUCGCAAGACCGCGCGCGAUUGGAGCGGCCGAUAUCAGAUUAGGUAGUUGGUGGGGUAAAGGCUCACCAAGCCGACGAUCUGUAGCUGGUCUGAGAGGACGACCAGCCCCACUGGGACUGAGACACGGCCCAGACUCCUGCGGGAGGCAGCAGUGGGGAAUUUUGGACAAUGGGCGAAAGCCUGAUCCAGCCAUGCCGCGUGCAGGAUGAAGGCCUUCGGGUUGUAAACUGCUUUUGUACGGAACGAAAAGGUUUGGCCUAAUAAGCUGAGCUCAUGACGGUACCGUAAGAAUAAGCACCGGCUAACUACGUGCCAGCCGCCGCCGUAA